ensembl:lncRNA LINC01409 long intergenic non-protein coding RNA 1409
ACAUGGAGGAGCCCAAUCCAAGGCAAGACACAGGUUCAGGCUUUACCACAGUCACAAAGGCUGCUUCUUGUUUUUGUUUUUAGCAGAAGGUAAGCAUGAGCAAAUUACUUUUUAGAGGUAACUUUGCUGAACUUGUGAAGAAUGGUGUGCAAGGUCCAGAGCGACUGCAGGAGAGGGAAGGUGGGAUUCCCACAGAGCAGGAGCACAGAUAAGCCAAGCAAGGCCCUGCUUGGAAGGCAGCAAUCAACAGAGAUGCACAGACCUGUGAGGGUGCCGGGACAGCCAUGCAACAAUGCAGCCCUUUUGCUUCCUGAGCUCACCAGUUCCCUCGCUCCACCUCUGAGAGGUGGUUUGGAGAAACACAGCCCUUCUCAAGAGGGCUGCAAGCUACUUAAGUCCUGAAAAUUUCCACAAGGCUGAGUCAAAUCUGCGUUUCAUCAUCUAUAAGAAAGGUACCUAUCGAGAACACCCUGCUGGCCAGUGUGUAAAUAUCUAAAGGAGGACUCAGAAAACACCGGGGAAGUCCAGCCUGCACGUGGUGGCUGGGCUUCAGUGAAGCAUGCAGCACAACAGGAGUUGUAAGUAGUAGUUACAUCAGCAGCCCUGGAAAUUCUGCUCAGAACCAAACUGAACAAAUAACAUUAUCUAAGGCUUACAAUUAUUUAACUCCCUAAAUUUUCUGUCCUCCCAGUAGCACUUUCAAAUGCCUAAAAGCAAUUAAAAGAAACAUUUUUCCAAUGUCUCACAGAACCAUUAGAAACACAAAAUUAAUAGCUUCAUAAACUAUAGCUUCUAUUUUAUCCAUAAUAGAAUGAAGGUGCAUAAACCACAUAGUAAUUAAUCUUUGGACAAAAGCAAACAAUAAAUGGAAUAUAUGGCUAAGAUCCUUUCUUUUUGAGUGUGGCCCAAGAUAAAAAUUUCUUCCAAAAGGGUAACAUUAAUGCAAUAAGGCUUUUGUGGAAUUCUAUUUUGUACGAAAUUCCUGUUUUCUAUUAGCUACUUCUUCCUCUGUGACACAAGCCUCAUUCCUUGUGAAAAACACGAAGCAGAAAACAUUCGUGAAAUCAUCAGGUAAAGAUCCCAUGACCGUUCUAUCACUGACACAGUAUGUAGGUACAUGGUACAACCCCCAAGGGACCACCUUGUGGCAUCCUCAGCAACCACAGAGCCACAGGGCAGAUGAGUGUUUGCUCCCACUGAGGCUCUGCAACCUCUGCCACCAAUACUGGAGAAAUCCUCCAACCUCACUGUUUUCUCCUGAACUUGUUCCCUUCUGUUUUUCGAUUAAUACACAGCAAACAGGCACACCUUCAAGCUGCCAAAAGCAUCUUAAACGUUGUACACUUACAAUCUUCAAAAUAUAGUUGUUCAAAAGAGUCAUCAAAGUAGUUUUUGAAAUAGAACACUUACUUUGACCACAUAAUUGAACCUUCGGAUAUCUUGAAUUGCACUUGAGAAGUCUAACCGAUUAAAGGCUUCUCCCAAGGUGCAAUAGCCAUGCCUCUGGAAGAGCAACACAGAAUUUAAAAUUAGUCAAUUAGCCAAAAAGAAUUGGCAGUUAAUGUCAAUUAAUUGUGCGAUUAAAAAAAUUUUUGGCAAAGGACAAUUUGUUUUUAUUUUGAAGACUGAUUUUAGAUUUAGAUGAGAGUAUAGUAAAAUUGUAGCAAUGCUAAUAAUUUAAGCUGUUUAUGUAUACCUGAGACACCAUUAACUGACAUUUUUUACAACCUGCUGAAGUAAUGACAAAGACAAAUAUUUAUUAAAUAUCUUGCUGGUUUGUUUUGUUGGGGACAAACUGGGGUGUGGACGAUGUUAAAGCUAAGAUCAUAAAAAAACUGGAUUCAUUCUAGGCUACGCAACUAAAAAUACAUAAAUCAUCUGAUUAACUGCAUUGUAAGGAUGUAGGUGUUACAAAUAUCUAGUUGAAACACAGGAUUUCUCUGCAGGGGAGGCAUGCACUGCCCGAGUUUGAAGUGUAACAUGGGAUUUCUCUCCAGAGCAGCCAUGCACUGCCCAGGCUGGAAGUAUGCUCAACCACAAGGGUCAGGGCUGGGAGAGGCGCUUCGGUAGCAAGAAGGUGCCUCUGAAAACCAGCAUUGGGAUGGAGAGGGCUGAAGGCAAGUGCUGGAUGUGACCACGGGCAGCUUUCAGGCUGGGAGCACGGAUGCCAAGAACCCAAAACACCAAAAAAA